GACGUAGGGCGCGAGCGUUGUCCGGAUUUAUUGGGCGUAAAGAGCUCGUAGGCGGGCUGUCAAGUCUGGGGUGAAAUCCCGCGGCUCAACCGCGGAACUGCCUCAGAUACUGACGGUCUCGAGGGGGGUAGGGGCGAGCGGAACUGAUGGUGGAGCGGUGAAAUGCGUUGAUAUCAUCAGGAACUCCGGUGGCGAAGGCGGCUCGCUGGACCCCUUCUGACGCUGAGGCGCGAAAGCCAGGGGAGCAAACGGG
rnacentral:rRNA from 1 species